AACGUGUAAGCGCGUCACUGUGGAAGUGCGCGCGUACGUAUGUAUAAAAUGUAGACCUUAAAGAGCAGGUAGUGCGCUUUCAAUUCGCUUUUGAGAUAGCGCGGAAGAGCGAAGAAGCUUGGAACUUUUGAGAGAAGCUAGUAGAGGGUUCUCCUUUCUUUGACUGAUCGCACGUAAAUUUUGAAGGAAUCCACGGGUCUAUUGUGGAUCAUCGGUCGUGCGAGAAAAGAAAUUUUCCUUGGACGAGCCGACCGUAAGAUCUUCCCACAUACCUGCGUCGUGAUUAAUGUCAUGCCUGUUCGAGACGUUUUUCAUUCGAGUCGUUCGUAUUUUUUAGUUUCUCAUACGAGAAUACAUAUUUAACGUGUACGUCGGUCAACGAUUAUACUUGGUCGUAAUCUACACGGUAUAAAAGUGUAGAAGAGACAGUCGAACGGAUCUUGAGUGACCUAUGGCCCUGUAUUGGCCAUCUACGUACGUACGUAGCUACCGAGUGAUCGAUUGAAAUCCCGAUGGCGUAUCUUAUUCUUUCAUUACUCGAUGGCACUGUGUAAUCGACGCAUAUCGCAUUUACGAUAGAGCAUCGAACGCUGUAAGCGAAGUGGUUUAGUAAUCCGGCAGCGGCACUUGCGCAAUCCAGGAAUUUCUCAUGCGAGGCGAAGGAAGGAAAUUGCGUUGCCCAAUUAGAAAUCGCGGGAGACCGCAGAAGGAGGAAAGGAACGAGAUAAAGGAAAGAAAAGGAGAUAAAAAUAGGGAGAGGGAGCGCAAAAGGAUGAUCGUAAGAAAUAAGAAAGGGAAAGCACUGGAACGAAGGAGGACGAGCGGUCGAAGAAGAAAGAAAAGGGUAGGAGGGCAAACGACGGAGAGGAGAAGAGAGCUCCACUCGUCAUCCCGGAUGUGCAACAUCUUUACAUGCUAUUCUUCGAUGCAGUUACCUACCAACACGAUUGUUCUCUUUUUCGCCUAUUAACGAGUCUUUAGCUAUACCUGUCUCUACGUAGAUGUAUGUACAUCCAUAUCACGAUACGGCAUAUACCGCACUGUGGCACGCACGCACGCACGCACGCACGCAAGCAAUGAAUAAUAAUAAUCAUGAAAUAAUAACAUAUUACGACAAAUAUUCAACCAAUUGAAUUUGGACGCGAGUAUGACUUCGUUAUUACAUUAUUAUUAAAUGAAUAAUAGAAUUGUUGGCCUAUUCGACUGAGAAUCCGACCGAGCGAGUAUUCGUUGCUUUGGAGAAAGUGUCUCUUGUACGAUGCCUUAAGGCGCAUUUCACAUGCGCUUUAAGAGCUCCGGCAAAGCGAGUUCCGACUCGCGGGCCGUGUGUUAACGCACGCUCGGCUUAUGUAAUCGGUUACGGUAAUAGCGUAGUUAUAGCAAUCCGGGAGCAACCAACGGGUAACACAAUUCCUUGUUAAUACGCUAACGAAUAAACUAGCUCCUAUAUUGUACAUUGCUAUCGCCUAUUUUCAUACGAGAUUCUUCUUUAAGAAUAAAAACUAGAAAAUACGAGUUAUAAA